rnacentral:rRNA from 1 species
GAUGAACGCUGGCGGCGUGCCUAAUACAUGCAAGUCGAGCGAACAGACGAGGAGCUUGCUCCUCUGACGUUAGCGGCGGACGGGUGAGUAACACGUGGAUAACCUACCUAUAAGACUGGGAUAACUUCGGGAAACCGGAGCUAAUACCGGAUAAUAUAUUGAACCGCAUGGUUCAAUAGUGAAAGACGGUUUUGCUGUCACUUAUAGAUGGAUCCGCGCCGCAUUAGCUAGUUGGUAAGGUAACGGCUUACCAAGGCAACGAUGCGUAGCCGACCUGAGAGGGUGAUCGGCCACACUGGAACUGAGACACGGUCCAGACUCCUACGGGAGGCAGCAGUAGGGAAUCUUCCGCAAUGGGCGAAAGCCUGACGGAGCAACGCCGCGUGAGUGAUGAAGGUCUUCGGAUCGUAAAACUCUGUUAUUAGGGAAGAACAAAUGUGUAAGUAACCAUGCACGUCUUGGCGGUACCUAAUCAGAAAGCCACGGCUAACUACGUG